AUACGAAGGGUGCAAGCGUUACUCGGAAUUACUGGGCGUAAAGCGUGCGUAGGUGGUUGUUUAAGUCUGUCGUGAAAGCCCUGGGCUCAACCUGGGAAUGGCGAUGGAAACUGGGCGACUAGAGUGUGGCAGAGGGUAGUGGAAUUCCUGGUGUAGCAGUGAAAUGCGUAGAGAUCAGGAGGAACAUCCGUGGCGAAGGCGACUGCCUGGGCCAACACUGACACUGAGGCACGAAAGCGUGGGGAGCAAACAGGAUUAGAUACCCUGGUAGUCCACGCCCUAAACGAUGCGAACUGGAUGUUGGGUGCAAUUUGGCACGCAGUAUCGAAGCUACCGCGUUAAGUUCGCCGCCUGGGGAGUACGGUCGCAAGACUGAAACUCAAAUGAAUUGGCGGGG
rnacentral:rRNA from 1 species